rnacentral:lncRNA from 1 species
AAGAGAGUCUUUGCUUCUGGAGAUCAACAAAGCUGAGGACAAAUUGAAAGAAAUCUCUUCCGAAGUUAUGAUUGAAGACUCUUUGAUGACCAGUUUGGCUGCACAGAUGAAGGAGCUUCAAGCAAGGAUGGAUGACUGCAAGGCGAGAAUGGCUGCUAAAAAGCGUAAUGCUUCCCAAGGAAUUGAGCGAACCAAGUCUUUGGUCGAGCAGUACAAGAAGCUGGAGAUUGAUGAUGAUUUUGUAGCUGAAUUGAAUGUCACUUCUUCUCAGCAGAGCGAGGAUUGGGGGAGAUUUAGGAAAAGAAUUCGUUCG